rnacentral:rRNA from 1 species
ACGAACGCUGGCGGCGUGCCUAAUACAUGCAAGUCGAGCGCUUCUUUUUCCACCGGAGCUUGCUCCACCGGAAAAAGAGGAGUGGCGAACGGGUGAGUAACACGUGGGUAACCUGCCCAUCAGAAGGGGAUAACACUUGGAAACAGGUGCUAAUACCGUAUAACAAUCGAAACCGCAUGGUUUUGAUUUGAAAGGCGCUUUCGGGUGUCGCUGAUGGAUGGACCCGCGGUGCAUUAGCUAGUUGGUGAGGUAACGGCUCACCAAGGCGACGAUGCAUAGCCGACCUGAGAGGGUGAUCGGCCACAUUGGGACUGAGACACGGCCCAAACUCCUACGGGAGGCAGCAGUAGGGAAUCUUCGGCAAUGGACGAAAGUCUGACCGAGCAACGCCGCGUGAGUGAAGAAGGUUUUCGGAUCGUAAAACUCUGUUGUUAGAGAAGAACAAGGAUGAGAGUAACUGUUCAUCCCUUGACGGUAUCUAACCAGAAAGCCACGGCUAACUACGUGCCAGCAGCCGCGGUAAUACGUAGGUGGCAAGCGUUGUCCGGAUUUAUUGGGCGUAAAGCGAGCGCAGGCGGUUUCUUAAGUCUGAUGUGAAAGCCCCCGGCUCAACCGGGGAGGGUCAUUGGAAACUGGGAGACUUGAGUGCAGAAGAGGAGAGUGGAAUUCCAUGUGUAGCGGUGAAAUGCGUAGAUAUAUGGAGGAACACCAGUGGCGAAGGCGGCUCUCUGGUCUGUAACUGACGCUGAGGCUCGAAAGCGUGGGGAGCAAACAGGAUUAGAUACCCUGGUAGUCCACGCCGUAAACGAUGAGUGCUAAGUGUUGGAGGGUUUCCGCCCUUCAGUGCUGCAGCUAACGCAUUAAGCACUCCGCCUGGGGAGUACGACCGCAAGGUUGAAACUCAAAGGAAUUGACGGGGGCCCGCACAAGCGGUGGAGCAUGUGGUUUAAUUCGAAGCAACGCGAAGAACCUUACCAGGUCUUGACAUCCUUUGACCACUCUAGAGAUAGAGCUUCCCCUUCGGGGGCAAAGUGACAGGUGGUGCAUGGUUGUCGUCAGCUCGUGUCGUGAGAUGUUGGGUUAAGUCCCGCAACGAGCGCAACCCUUAUUGUUAGUUGCCAUCAUUUAGUUGGGCACUCUAGCAAGACUGCCGGUGACAAACCGGAGGAAGGUGGGGAUGACGUCAAAUCAUCAUGCCCCUUAUGACCUGGGCUACACACGUGCUACAAUGGGAAGUACAACGAGUCGCAAAGUCGCGAGGCUAAGCUAAUCUCUUAAAGCUUCUCUCAGUUCGGAUUGUAGGCUGCAACUCGCCUACAUGAAGCCGGAAUCGCUAGUAAUCGCGGAUCAGCACGCCGCGGUGAAUACGUUCCCGGGCCUUGUACACACCGCCCGUCACACCACGAGAGUUUGUAACACCCGAAGUCGGUGAGGUAACCUUUUGGAGCCAGCCGCCUAAGGUGGGAUAGAUGAUUGGGGUG